UACGGGGGGGGCAAGCGUUGUUCGGAAUUACUGGGCGUAAAGGGCUCGUAGGCGGCCAACUAAGUCAGACGUGAAAUCCCUCGGCUUAACCGGGGAACUGCAUCUGAUACUGGAUGGCUUGAGAUUGGGAGAGGGAUGCGGAAUUCCAGGUGUAGCGGUGAAAUGCGUAGAUAUCUGGAGGAACACCGGUGGCGAAGGCGGCAUCCUGGACCAACACUGACGCUGAGGAGCGAAAGCGUGGGGAGCGAUCCGG
rnacentral:rRNA from 1 species